rnacentral:lncRNA from 1 species
GACCUUAUUGAGCCAACUCUGCUGGAUGAGCUAAUCUGCCACAUUGGUUCUUUGGCCUCUGUGUAUCAUAAGCCUCCCAAUGCUUUUGUGGAAGGAAGUCAUGGAAUUCAUCGUAAACACUUGCCAAUUCAUCAUGGGAGCACUGAUGCAGGUGACAGCCCUGUUGGCACUACCACUGCAACGAACCUGGAACAGCCUCAGGUUAUCCCCUCUCAAGGUGAUCUUCUAGGGGAUCUUUUAAACCUUGACCUCGGUCCCCCAGUCAAUGUGCCACAGGUGUCCUCCAUGCAGAUGGGAGCAGUGGAUCUCCUAGGAGGAGGACUAGAUAGUCUGCCCCAGAAAUUGUUUACAGUGCAGUUUUCUUCAGCUUAUUCUGAGAUUGAAAGAUAUCCCAGAAAUCAAGAUGAGAAGAAAUUAAAGCCCUUAUUUUUGCUUUGGAUCCGUAUGUGGUUAAAUAUAUAUUCACUCAGAGAAUCAAGGUUCCUUUUUCGAGAACAUCACAAGGAAGACCUAAAUUUGCCUGUGUGGAAGAAGAUGAGUUUCUAAGGCGGCAGUGGACUUUUAAAAUGCUUUUAUUGUUCUUAUGCAAAUUACCUAAAGAGAAGAUUAAUCCUCAAAGCCAUUUUUUGAAUGCAUCCUUGCCUUACAGAGUGCUUCUCAAAAUAAAUUAUAUACCUUGAAUCUCCUAAA